UGGAAGUUUUCUUCAUACAAAACCAUGUAGUCAUGCAUGUUUGCAGCAUCAAAAGAGGUAUCUGUGUUCACUACCAAUACCACCACCAUCAUCGUCCUGUUGGACUGUAAAAUGUCAAAGUUGAAAUGUCACAUGACUGCUACAGACAUGGUUCACUUCUUAUCAAAUUAGCUUAAGCUAGCAUAUGCACAUCAUGCUAACUGUUAUAUUACUGCUUUAGUGGAAGUUUGUGCUGAACUGUGAUUUAACUGCAAAAAAGAAAAUUUUAUGUUCUUGCAGUUUCUCUAAUUCUUAGAUAUUUGGGGAAUGGCUGAUGUACACAAUCUUGAGAUGUAUUUGUGAUUAGCUCUAGAACUCUUUUGCAUUGAACAAAAAUGUGUCUGUUCAUGCUUGUUACAAUCCGAGAUCCAAUACUUAGAUUAAUAACUUGUAUUUUAGUUAUAAGUCUUCACCUUAUAUGCUUUUAAAUGGCACAUAUGAUUGCAUUAGUUAUGUGAGAUUUCAUAUUUGGUCAUUUUAUAGAAACUUAUGUAUCAUCAGAACGGAUCAUAUUCUUUCAAGAAUCACUCUGUUCCUUGAUUCAUUUGCUUUACACUGUUGAUAUUGAUGAUUAUGCUGAAUUCAAGAACAUGUUUCUCCUGCCUCAGGAUUCAUAUGUUAGAGCAAAAAAGUGGGUUCGAGAACUCCAAAGACAAGGUGACUUAGUAUUUACCUUCGAUGUGCAUUUUACCAUAAAUUUUGGUUAUAUGCAAGCAUGCCAAUUCUUUGCUCCACACUUCAAAGUUGGUUUUUUAGCUUUAAUUAUCUAUCAUGGUUAUAAACCAUCAAUCGGUUGAACUGACACCUUGUGUUUUCAUUCACAUUCUACAUAUGAACUUGCAGUUACACCUUUGAUAAUGUUGUUAGAAAUGUAACCUAAGCAAAAUUUGUGUUAACUAGUCAACUUGAACAAAAUAUUAUAUACUUUGUGGGUUUUUACUCAACAUGUAUCUUGAAUGUUUCUUAUAUGCUGCUCCAACAGUCAAACUAUUUCAUUCUAUAUGAAUUUUGUGAUCUCACCUUGUUUAAUUGUUUGUGUUCUGCUGAGUCAGCAUCACAUAUAACUCAAACAAAUCUACUCUGUUCUAGGAAACCCAUAUCUGAUAUUGGCAUUGGUCGGGAACAAGAUUGACUUGGAGGCAAAAAGGAAGGUGGAAUCUGAGGUAAAUAAGGACUUGUUUUUGUGAUUUACACACUUUAGUUUCUUCUUUUGUUACCUGUGAUGAUCAUGAAGCAUGAACUUCAAAUUACCAAAAAGAAUGAAGAUUAAAAUUGCUUAACAAUCACCUGCCUUUUCAAUUGAACAAAUCAUCUUCUUCGAUGAGUGACUGGCAAAAAAGGGAUUGACAUUCCAAAUGAAUUAUAUGUUUGUGUAUUUUCCACAAUAUCUUGUAUCAUCAUUUUUUAUUGUACCAAUUCAUUCUUAGGCUGUUUAUAUCUAUGAGAAAACCUCCAGUAAACUUAUCUCAAUUGACACCUAGGCUUGUCUUAGUUUUAGCCUGCACCAUCGAAACUGCACAAAUAAGACCAAAUGUGCCACUAUGGAAGACUAAUACUUGAUAAUAGCAGGUUUCAGCUUACCCUGCCGAGGCUGUUCAUUGGAUUUAAGGUCCUAUGAAGUAAACAUACAUUGAAACACUAAAACAAGCAAACCACCAGCCAAAUUCACUGGAAUAAGUUGUAACUCACACAUGCACUAAAUAUAAAUCACAAUCUAGUCUAAAAUAUCAAAAAAUCUUUAUCAAACCAAGAUGGCUCCAAACCAGUGGAUGGACAGACUUUGAUGAAGACUAAUUUAGUUUAAGAAUACCUUUUAGAGAAUCCACAUAUCAUGCCACACACACACGGAAUGUUUCAACAGCCAGUCAUAAUCAACGAAAGGUAUAGAUAUUUCAAAUAAAUCAAUCAAAUAUAUGCCUAAUCAAGCAAUGGCAAAGAAGACAGUUCUGUGCACAUGAAUGGGUAAUUUAUCAUGGAAUGUAGCAGAUGAAUGGACAAUUACAAACAGUGUGUGCAUCCUAAGCCCCAUGAGAUUUGCAUUUUUAUGAUUUAGCAUCGUAAGUCCAUACCGUACCUGUGUUGCUGUGCUACUUGUGAGGCUAGAGUAUAUGAAAUGCUUGAUAGAUAUGUGGUGCUGAAACUUUGGCUUCUUCUCAGGAAGGCUUGCAAUAUGCCCAAGAGAAUGGGUUGUUCUUCAUUGAAACUUCUGCAAAAACAGCAGAGAACAUCAACGAGCUCUUCUAUGAAAUAGGUAAACUUCUCUCUCACCAUCUCAAUGCAUUCCUAAUAACAUGCCAACUUUCAUCCCUCACAGCCAAGAGACUUGCUAAAGCCAGGCCACCGCAGUCAUCCGGGAUGAACUUGUCCAAUGAAACACAAGUCAGGGAGAGAAGGCUGUUCUGCUGCUCGGGAUGAUCACAUCCAUGACCAACUUGAUGCAUUGAUCUUGUCCAAUCAAACUUUGAUCUUGUUACUUGUAAAGGUUUAGAAAGCCAACGAGUCAAGAUGCCUAUCUGUUUUAAGUGUUGUCCUGCAUGAACUCAGUUGAUUGUGGCAUCAUAACAUCUACAUUGCAAAAUUAGCCAUAUUACACCUGCACAGGCAACUCUCAUGCUCUCAGAAACAGGACUUGGUUUGGUUGAAGUACAUGUAAGGCAAGUAUGCCAUUUACUUGAUGCAAAAAUCUAAAUAUCAAAAUCAGAUGAGUCUGCCACAUCAGGAUAGCAAGUCUGUGCUGAGUGGGUUUCAUCAUCAUGUUUCUAAAUAUCGAUUGGUAUGAUGUGUAUUUAGUAGUAUUUACUGAUCCAAUUGUGAACCGAUAUCAAUUCAUAUGUUUAAUUAUAAGUUAUGAUUAUUUAGUCGAUCUUUAUACAAAGAAGGCUUAAGCCCUCUUUGUGUCAUUCAAAUGGUUUGUAAAAAAAUUAGUCAUCAUCUAGUUGUUAGAUUAUGUGAUCCUAACUAAUUUUAAUUGAAAUAUAUUAAAAUUCUAAUUUAACUUUGAUUAAGAUUAUCAAUCAAUAAAAAAGAAAUGUAGAUGAUCUUGAUAAGAGUGACUAUUCUCAUUAUUCCUUCUAAGACCUCAUCUCGCGUAUAGACAAAACCUCUAAGAAUCUAGAUACAUAAAAUAUAAAAAUUUAUUCUUUAUCUUUCAGUUAGUCCUGACUCUAUCAUUAAUCAUGAUUCUAUUAAAGAUAGGAAAAGAAGAGAAUGAAAAUCUAAUUUCCUUCAUACAGAUUGAUGCUACUAUUGCUUCUUAUGAAUUAGCGAAUUAGACUAUGGUGCGUUCCUAGACAACGAAGGGUCUUUUGUCAUAGGUAUCAAAAGUACAUAAAAUUUAAUCUUUGAUCUAUAUCAUUUGAUUUCAAUCUUAACAUUAAGUUAUUUUUCAUUAUAGAUUUUAUGCUUACACUUACGAUGGUACAUCAUUUUCACUUAUUAGAAAUUGAAGAUUUCAAAAACUCAUUCAAUAUGGUGUAUAUAUAUAAUAUAGUGUGUAUAUAUUUGUUGAUUAAUUAUAAGCUUGAGUUAUGGAGGUGAGCCUUAGAAAUUAAAGAUCUUAGAUUAAGUAUGACUAAGUCUAAAUAUAUAAAAUAUAAUUUUAAUGAUUCUAGAAUAUAGUUAAAUUAGAUGGAUAAGAAAUUCCUUUAAGUAGAAGCUUUAGGUGUCUCAGAUCAAUUAUUCAACAACAUUGAGAGAUCGAUAAAGAUAUUAUUCAUAAAGUAAAAACAUGAUGGUUAAAACGAUAGAGACAUCAGGAGUCUUGUGGGAUCAUUGGAUAUAUUUAAGAUUAAAAUAAAUUUUAUAAGAUAAUUGUAAGACCAAUAAUAUUUUAUUGAUUUGAGUGUCUGACAUUUAAGAAAAAAUAUAUACAAAAAGUUUGGAUUAGAAUAUUAAUAUAGAUAUAUAUAAAGUUACUAGAAAGAUUAUAAAAAAAAUAUUUUUAUUCAUGAAUGAUUAUGUAUCACUUUGAUAGAGGAUAAGAUGAGAAAAUCUCACUUAAAAUGAUAUAAGUAUGUAUUAAGAAGACCUCACUAGUUAAAAGAGGUAAAAUAAUUAAUAUUAAUAGUACGAUGAGAGAUAAAGGAAAACUUAAAAAUACUUUAAUAUAGGUCAUACAUCAAAAAUUAAGUGUUUUAUACUUCAUUAAAUAUAUAUAAUUUUAUAUAUUUCAAUAAUCAUAAAAAAAAUCCAUGUAAUUGACUCCAAAGAUCCUCGUAUGAGAGUUUGUUAUUGUCGCUCAUAACCCUAAACUCGAUCACUCCUGUAUCCAUCAUUGCCUCUGUGCACAUAAGGAUGAUCGACAAAUGCGAUGCAAGACGAAGAUAUAGAACGAAGACGAUAACAAAUCUAACAUAGGCCAACGGUAAAAUAAUCAUUGUUUAAAAAAAAGGUGCUAUAUGGCAAUUUUUCAAUAUAGAAGCGGUCUGAGAAAAUUCUCAAAUUUANNNNNNNNNNNNNNNNNNNNUUUCUAAGAAUUCAUCAAUUAUUUAUUUAUUUUUCUUAAUUAAAUUCCUUUCAGCUAAUAGUUUCUGCUCCCAAGACUUCUGCGUGACUGAAGACAGCCUUUUAGGUAUACUUUUUUAUCUUUGCACCAAUCUUUCCCAUCUCCUAUCUCCCAUCUCCUUUCUCGCACCCUCCCUAUCCUCGCGUCUCCGUCUCUUUGAGCUGCGCCGAAUCGAUCAAGACGCGUUUGGAUGAGUUCACAUGUGGUUUGGAAGUUUGCCUUGCCGACACACCUUUUCUGGAGGGGUCGCCUUUCCUUUACACGUAACAUUCAUUCCACAUGGGGAGCACUCCUCACUUGAUGAGGGAGAACAGUCGAAGAAGCUCCACAACUCAGUCAGCAACACUUCCUCGAUGGGUUCCAAAAGUCACUGAUUGAACGUCAACCACCGUAAUGUCUUUUCAAAGAGAUUAUUACACUCUAGCAUUCACGAUUUGAUUAUUUACGGAUAGUAACGAUGACAUAAAGGUUUAUUUCGGAAUUUUAUCGUAUUUGAAUCUGAAUAAUCACAAGGAACAUAGUACCUAGUGGCUGAUGAAUCACCACAACUUGGUCCACGGGUCGAUGUUGGAAGUCUUCUGUCGGCUAAGCUAGCUUCAGGAUCGAUCGGGUCCUCGUGACGGGGGCCUUGAUCGGCGUUCUCCAGUCCGAGAUAGCUCGAUGGCGCAUCGCGGGGACACCGGUCCUCGAAUUCUGAGGUUGGGUUGCUUUCCUGCAAAAACGAUCUUCGUCGGGUGAUCCCGACUUUGGUCCCUCCGACGAGCAAGUUAGUAGUAGGUUUUGUUGUUUUUCUCUUGCCCCCCACUAGAGGCCGGGAUCGAGGUUUUUAUACUGUUGUAAGAGGGUUGGUCGUACACGGGUUGGCGUGGUGGGCACAGCACAGUAUCAGUACGGAUUCUGGCUCGACGUGCAGGGCAUUGUCGUCCCGGGAUUACUAGGAUCAGACGUGUCUAAUAGUGUCUUGGGAGCACGGAUUCUAACGUGGCAUGUGGCAUUGGUUGUGACAUAUCCUGGGGGAAAAGUAUGCCUUAUCACGUAGUGAUGUAUUGAUGGUAGACACAUCAACGUUGGGUUUUGAUGACAUCUUUUGUCAUCACUGCUCUCGUUAGGUUUUGAACAAAAUGUGUUUCUAACUACAUCAGUAACUUUGGUAAUAGUCAAGAAACAAUGUUUUGACACUAAUUAAAAAGAUAUUUGUUCAUGCUUAUGAAGUUUAUGCAAUAUACCAAAUGCGUAUAAGACCUAUAAUUAUUAUUUUUUUAGGACUAUUGAGAACAAAAAAGAUAAAUUCCAAGUUUUAGGGACAAAAUAACAUGUAGUAUCUUGAUUAUUUCUCUUAAUUAUUGUUUGUAAAUCUUACACCGUGGCCGAAGAGUUUGUACGGCUUGCUCUGAUUACCAAUGUCCAAGAUGUCUCUGGGAUGAUAUCUUCGUCGGGUCUGGUUGAACUCAGGAUCGGUCGAGUUGCACUUCUGCAACGAGUACGCUCACUCUUGUUAUCGUCGGAUCCCUACACACUGGCGUAGGUCGGGGUGGGAGGGGUAUCCCGACUUAGGCCUCUCCAAGGAUUAAGUCAGUAGAACUUUAUGAAAAAUCCUCUGCCCCCGUACACUAGAUUUUAUUUUGGUGCUUGAGGGCCGGUCGUACACGAUUUUCGCGCGACGACCGACUCGCUGGAUAACAAAUUUGUACAUUCGAACGAUCGUCGUCUGGUAUGUAUGGAACGACGCCAUCCCAAGCUUCCCGGAACAAUCCUUGUCGGGAUGGCGUCGGGUCGUGUGGCCCCAGAUGACGCGGGAGAGGAGCGGCCAUCGUCUCAAAUUCCCAAUGACGCAUCCGACGUGGCGUCACGUCUUUCUCCGGAGGUUCCGUGCUUACGCUGAUAUGGUCGGAGGUUGUGUUCAUGUGGGGAAAUCCUAUGCUUUAUCAAUUAUCACUCGCCAAAAUCUUACAACAGAUGCACUUUGUGUUAGAAAAAAUGGACAAAGGUUACAUGAAUGACUGUAGUUUUCACUUAAAAUUAAAGUUGCAAUUAUUGUGCAUGUAAUAUUAGUGCAUUAAUUUAUCGAUAUAUCAUUAACUACACAAGAACCAUGCAACUUAGAUUUUUGGCAACAAGGUGGGACAAGGAUGAUACUGAUAAUGAGGGACAUGAUCAUGGAACCAACAAGGUGAGACAAGGAUGACAUAAACACUGAUAAUGGUGAUGGAUAGGGAAGACUAAGACAUCAUUAAAAGGCCUUUAGUUUUCGUUUUUCUUUUGGCUGAAUCACAUGACACCAUGAUGGAAGUGAAGGAUGGGUCGACUCUAUCAAGAAAAUAGAGAGAGAGAGAGAGAGAGAGAGAGAGAGAGAGAGAGAGAGAAACAUCACAUCAGAAACAAUUUAAUUCUUGAUUUGUUGUACUUUUCGAAAAAAUAUUCUCCAUAUAUUUCAGAAAAUCUGGUGGUUAAUACUGUAUCAUUCUUUCAUAUACUUUCACUACUGAAAGAAGAAAAUGGUACUUUAAUGGUUCCUUUAUUUGUCAUUUUGGAUCUUUAACGUGAAAAAUUCUCAUACUUUUCUUCAAAUAAAAUAAUAUAAUCCCCUCUCUGUCCCAUUGAAGAAUAUGAUUUUGAUAUAUGGAGAAAAGCUGCUGGUUAUAUUUUUCCUGUUUACAUUCCUCUACGCAUUAGUUUUAAUCCCCUCACGUUUGCAGUGUCACUGAUACGUUGCUGCAUGACUGAGUUACCGGCCAAGCUGACAAAAAGCAGUGAUGUGAACGAAUGCGUUGGCAAUAAAACCAUUCAAUAGUUUUGCUCAGCUGUUUUGCUCAAAGAAAACGUUCAUCCCACAAUAGCUGGAACCCUCGGAAGGCCUUCAUGAUUGAGCUGCUCACUGUGGACGUGUGCGGUGUGCCCCCGCUGACGAGAGGAGUCUCGGCUUUUCCGUGUCCUUCCCCCUCACUGUACUCCUUACAUUUACCAUCGCCAUGGAGUUGAGCUGAAUCAGGCCAAGGGUGAUGGUACUGCGGUGUCUCACCUGACGAAGGAGAACAACCCAAGUGAAGCUCUUCUUUUCGUGCAGGAGUCACGGGUUGCACGUACGAACCCUACUGGUGACGCGACAGGAAGCAACUGUUCUUGGAAUCAUGGCGGCUUCCCUCACCCUCGAGGCCAUGCACCUACUUCCAAACUCGUACUGCCACCUACUGUUCGCCUUGCAGAAGCAUUCUGCGUCACACUUCAUUCUGCUGUGUGGACGGUGGCUUGCACUGUUCGUUGUUACACUUAACCGUAAUCUCCGACGCAGAAACUAUUCUUCAUGGCUUUAUUCUGCGUUGUUUUCUUAUCACAGAUUUAGCACUGUUCAUUACUUCCUCUCAAACUUAGACCGAAACCUGCAAGUCCUUCGCGACUUCCAAGGCGAAAGAGGAUAGAUAUCCCGCAUAUACACUUGGCACCAAACUUACAGGUGCUUCCAUGCCAUUGCAGUUUAAGCGAGAGCAGUGAUGCUCAUAAGUUCAAUAAUUAUUCUUGUUCAAUUUCUACUCUUUUCCAAGUUGAUUUAUUUGAUAAUUUGAAUUUAAUGGCUACCUUAGAAACUAUAUCAUGUAUAUAAGGGAUGCAUAUGGAAUUUUACCUAGUAUGGUUUUACCUUAUAACUAUAUCAUGUACAUGACAAGGACCAUAUCCAAGCUCUAGAGCUUCUUCCUCCUCAUGAUGGUCACAAACCCUACCCUCCUGAGGCCUCUAUAAAAUACACCCAACCCACCUUCAAGCUCUGCGCCCACCUCUCUCUCCUUCAGUCCUUGAUUUAUUCUCUGCUCUUCUUCCCAUCAUGGGGAGGCUCAUUGCAGCCACCCUCUUCCUCCUCAUCUUCACACUCCUGCAUUCCUCCCAUGCGUGUCCCAAAUGUCCAUAUCCCACUCCCUCCAUCCCACACCCUAAGCACCACCCGAAGCACCCUCCCAAGGUGAAACCCUACCCUAAGCCCAAACCUCACCCUCCAAAGCCACCAGUAGUUGGCCCUCCUAAACCUCCUCCGGUUGUCCCACCACCACUCCCACCUGUAGUUGUUCCCCAACCUCCUCCCUAUGUGAAGCCUCCGCCUGUGCCGCCCGUUGUCGGUCCACCCAAGCCUCCUCCGGUGGUGUACCCCCCCGUGCCGCCUGUUGUCGGUCCACCCAAGCCUCCUCCGGUGGUGUACCCGCCCGUUCCGCCCGUUGUCGGGCCACCCAAGCCUCCUCCGGUGGUGUACCCGCCCGUUCCGCCUGUUGUCGGGCCACCCAAGCCACCUCCGGUGGUGUACCCACCCCAGCCGUGCCCGCCGCCGCCGCCGCCGCCGCCCAAGGAGACAUGCCCGGCGGACACGCUGAAGCUGGGAGCCUGCGUCGACCUGAUCAGCGGCAUGAUACCCAUUCGGAUCGGGGCGGACGCCAAGUCGACGUG
rnacentral:lncRNA from 1 species